CCCCAGACAGCAGUAUCUGCACCACACUUCUGGUUUAGGAAGCCUUCCAAGUCUUCGGUUGGGUCUGCAGGUGUCCAGAGAGCCUGUGAUACCCAACUACUGUCCCCGGCCACUCGUGGGCCAAACGGCUGUAGAAAACUGGAAGAGCAAUUAAACAGCAAAGUAGUAAAAAACAGGAUAGGUCUUAUAACCCAGCACUGCCACUUAUUUCUAGAUGAUCUUGAGAGAAAACAGGGACAAUGACCAUGAUUUGUCAUGAAGAUUCACUGAGAACAUAUGUGUAAAACAGCACAAUAAAUGGUCCAAAGUAGGUACUCAGUAAUUAGAAAGUGACAUUACCACAGCUGCUCUUUCAUCUGUCUCCUUUUUAUUAAAGUUUUAUUUUACUACAAUGGAGUUCAGUACUAAUCAUUCUCUAUUAACAUGCAUGGAUUUUUGUUCUCUCCUUCUAAUUUAUCACCUCAAGGAUGUUUAAUAUGAUGUUUCUCCUAUGUUCUUCAGAGCUUAUCAUAUGGUAUUAAACAACUAGCAGAUACUUUACUUAUUGAAUCAACAGAUAACAAUUAAAGACUUGUCAUGCACAAGGCCUCAUCCUAGGCACAGGGAAUACUCUGAUCUCUACCCCUGAGAUACAACCCAUGCUCAUAAGAGCUAGUAUGAUUUCUUGACUUGCUCAUUGGAAUAAGCAGAAACACAUAUGUUAUAUAUAGCAUUGCACACAGGCAUGGAAAUUAUCUUUCCACAGAUUCACAGUAACUUGUUCCCCUACUCCACUCCUGCCAGAAAAAUAUCAGAAAAUAAGUCACCUUACUUAUUAAAACUACCAAUUUUAACUGUACAGACUACAGAGUCUCAUGUUUAUCUCCCUCAACCAAUGGGGUCUAUCUAAAAAUGAAAAGCACCUAUACAGACCCAGUAGCUUAUGAAAGAGCCAAUCAGGUUUUUACCUACAGUAUUCUACUGCAAAAUUGCUGAUUCAAGCACAAAAGGAAUUCACAAAAACAAAAACAUAAUUACAUACGAGGCUACAAAAUAUUUCCACAUAUUCACAGAUUGAGCUUUCUCUCCAAUCACAAAAUCUCCUUUUCUCUUGUAAAAUUCCUUCCAGUUAGAAAAAAGUGUGAGCUUAAAAAAAAAUAAUUCUUGAGGAAAUUAGCUGUACUGUAAGUAGGGAAGACAGGGAUUAUAUGGCACUAAAAUAAGGGAUCUGUCAAUAAAGAAAAAGCACAGUUUUCUGCAUUUGUUCAGCACCACACUCUGUCUCCCUCCUGCCCCACCUCAUCUCCCCCACACCCCAGGUUCCGCCCCGCGAACUGACUCUGGCUUCCACUGCUCUAGGAAGGACCAAUACAAGAUGUUUCAGAUGAACAAGCACAUAUUUCUGUACAAGAUGACUAUCUAGUUUGCUAUUUCUGGCAAAGAACAGAGAAUGUCCAAGGUUGUCAGUACAACUUUUAUCUCCUAUGAUUUAACCGGUCCUUCAGCAAGCACAGAAUACCACUUCAAAAGAAGGAAAGAAUUUUUUUCCCAUGAUUAAACAAAGAAAGUCAGGAAAGAUUUUCCGGGGUGGCAGUAAUACCGAUAGACUUUCAGCCAAGAGUUAAGUUGGUAAAAAAGUUUGAGAGAGGGCAAUUAGAACAUUUUUUUAAGUUAUUACUUUGGCAUUAAGUAAAGCCCAAUAAGACAACUGUAGGCAAAGAAAACUGUUUCAACAAAGGUAAUAUAGCAUAGAAAAAAAACAGAUUCAUUUGAAAUACAGUGCUGGAGGAGAGCUCCGGACGGCCAGACAGAGAAACCAGGGGGCCCUAGAGCAACUGAAUCCUGAAACAGGGCUGUAGACAAAAUGACAAGGCUGAAAUGGUCCUGCUUUGGGCGCUUCAUGAGAAAACAGGGUUCUCUGGAAAAGUCAGCAAUGCUGGACAAAAAGAGAAGGCAGCAGGAAAAAAGACCAAAUCUGAGAUAGAAUGACUUUAUUAAAGGAGCCAUGGCCUGGAGCCCUGGCUGGUGUGGCUGAGUGGAUGGAGCGCCAGCCUGCAAACGGAAAGGUCGCUGGUUUGAUUCCAGUCAGAUCACAUGGCUGGGUUCUGAGCUCUGAAAAAAAGAAGCCAUAGACAUGUGCCUAUAGGCUCUGAGCAGGGCUAUUGAGAACAGGUCACUGUGGACAUCGGCCAACACAAUGGCACAUAACCGCAAUGCAGUACAGAGCUAAAACAUAAGGAACAGUGUCUCUGAGAUAACUUCAGUCAUCUGACGUACUGAAAUGGGCUGGGCAAAGAGCACACAGUGCACUCAAACAUGCUGGCUUUACGAGGAGUGGCUCACAGAAAGGCAAUAUUUCUAGAUCUUCAAUUAUUAGCCAUCUAAUAACGAAUAAUAAUAAACAGUCCAAAUGAUUUCGUUUCAACAAACAUUUCCUGAAUAUUUCUGUCAUGUACAAAAUUUUGCAAGUGUUCUCGGAUAGAGGCAUACAUAAAUCCAAGUCCAAAAUGAGUUUUAAGGAACUCAGACCAUAACUUAUUUUCAAAAAUUUGUGCAGUCAGUGUUGAAGAACUAGAUUCAGCCACAGGAACUUACUAUGUUUUAAUGCUCGAAAGUAAUUGAAAAAUGGUAAUUUCAUAUGGUUCAGCCUGAUAUAUAGUACCAGACUUCAAAAACUAAUGAAAUAACUGUGAUACAGAAGUCUAGACAAAAUGUCUCCAAGGGUACAGAAAUUAAAAUGCAAAAAAAAGAAUUCAUUUGCUCUGACUUGGGAAAGCAGGACAGCUUCUUGGAGCAGAUGGCAUAUGAACUAGGAAUGAGGUUUUGCGAGUUGGAAUAGUUAGAAAAGGGAGUAUAGUGGAGAGGAAGUGGCAGAUGGGAAUUUUAGGGGGAAAGCAAGAACAUAAGCACAGGAUCAUAAAGUGUAACAGAAUAAUUCAAAUGACAAAAUCAUCUAUUUUCAUGUCAUAGAACAAGCAUGUGAAGUUCAUUAAUAAAAAUUGACUUAAAGUCAAUUCACUUGGUGAAGUUGAUAUUCUGUCUCAUAAGCCAAUAAAAACCUAGGAUAAUAAAACAAAUAUAAAGGUUUUCUGAUAAACAAUAAAAGGAAAAUGAAAUAAGAGUCAAGUCCACCACUCCCUAUAAAAAAAGCUACAUUCUCCAGUUCGCAGAAGCCUCAAAAUAAUAUAAUACCCUAAAAGCUCCUCACUGCACUACAGACGCAUCAAAACCAUGCGUUAGAUGAUCCUGUUCUGUUCAGUGGCCACCGUCCUUAUGGAUGCCUCCGCCUCCGCCCCAAUAAGGAGGUUUUAGAAGGGCCUCCUUGGAUUUAAAGGUCAAGUGCUUCUCACCACUCCACUUACAAAUCACUACAAGUAACCAUUAUAAAUUUACCACAGUACUGGCAAAAAAAAUUAACAAUCACUAGAACUUACUGAUUGUUGUGUAGGAAUAAAGGCUUCGGCAUGGUUAUGAGGACAGUAAUGAAUUUUAAUCUACUGCUCCAUUAUACAUAUUAUUCUUAACCAUAAUAACAGUGUUCCACUUAAGCUUCAAGACAGUAUUUAAAUAGGAGGUUUAGGAAACAAUAAAGCCUAAAAAAAUACUGUACAUGUAUUCCAAAUUUAGAGUGAGUAGGAAAUGUCAGGGGAAUUUUAUCACUUCAUCAAACAAUCAAAUACUCUGAGCCAACAACACACAGAGUCCAAGAAAACAGGAGACGGGAAUUUUUUUCCUCCUUAUUGGAGAGUCAGCGAGCUAAUAAAUAUAUUAAUCAAAGAACACAUAAAAGACUUUUAAUUAUUUUUUUGGCAGGAAGCUUUCUUUUAAGAAAAAUGUUAAAUGUUGCGCUAGUUAUAAUGUAUAAACACUGAACCCAAGGGGUACACAUCGCCAGUUAAAGCAGCAAGAUAAAGGGCAAAUGAAGUUAGGGGACCAAGUGAAGGAGGAAUCAGACAGGCAUGAGGAGAAAAACACAAGACACCUCAGAAGAAAGAAACACGAAGAGAAAAGCACCCACAAGCAAACCUGUAUGAACACAGAACAGCUGCCUAAUGGUUCAAACUCUCCAAACAUUUUUAUGAAGACUAAUAGAUGUCUAUCAUGUCUUCAUUUGUAAGUGCAAAAAUGGGGAUAGCUCAUCAUUUGCCUCAAGGGACACGGGAAAUUACGUUAGAGACCGAACAUAAAACCCACAGUCGGCAGGUUCUUUCCCAAGUAAAGUCCACAGCAACAGUAGAGCCUCAUACAAGAAGGAUAUAAUUAGUAUUUUUAGAAUGAGAUAUCCUGUUAAAAGAAAACAUCAAAAUGUUAUAAAGUAAUUGUUGUUCAUAUACUUGAGCAUGAUACAAAGCUUGUUGACAGAAGUUCUAGGGGUUGACCUUAAUUGUGCCAUGUAACCACAAAUGUCAUCAAUCAUGUCUCCAUUAGAUAUUUUUAGGUUUAGAGAAUUAGAUGGUGCUCUUGUUGACAAGAUCCUUCUACAACUUGAUCGUCAGACUGUAGA